UCGUAAGCCGAGAGCCAGACUGAGAGUCAUAAGCCAAGCUAAGCUUGGUGCUAUUUCUUUAUUUUUUUUAUUAUUUGCUUAUGAAGAAUUGUGAUUGAGAGAAGUUUUAUUAAAUUGAUAAUCGUAGAAUAGAUUAUAAAUUGAAUUAAGACAGAAGUAGUAAGCCUCAGUAUUUUGUAGUUUGAUAAUUGAUUUCAAAUAAUCAGAGUAUAGUUAAUUGUGAUACUAACAGACCCAAUUCAUAUAAUCAGUCUUUCCUCGUGCUUGAAUCCACUUUUAUUAGUUCAAUUGCUUUGGUCCACUCAAGCUUGAAUGCAAUGGGAACAACAAACAUAUAUCAAAGAGAUGAAUCUUGAAGAAAGAAAUCCUUAAUAUACUCUUGUGUCAUUCAAAAGUACUAAAAAGUCACUUAAAGAUGAUAUAAUAUUAAACUAAAAUGCCUAAUGCCAAAGACAAGAAGACUAGAAAGUCUUGAAAUAAGACUAAAAAUUAAAAAGGCAUUGACAAGAAU
rnacentral:lncRNA from 1 species